ensembl:lncRNA LINC00426 long intergenic non-protein coding RNA 426
GAGAUUGACUAGACAUAGUGCCACUGUCAUCCCUGCUGGAGAAGGUCCGAAGCACCUCCACCUCUGUGCUUCCAGAGGGGCACUGUGGUGGCCACUUAAAAUGCUCAGGCUAUACCAUGCACUAGAGCAUCUACCUGGGCAAGGGAUAUGCUGUAUGACACUCUCCUGAUGCUGGGCAUGGCUGUGAGCCAAAGCACCCAGGCAGCCCUGCCAUCAGAAGGGUAAACCACGGACACCUGAUGCCUUCCUGAAGGAAGAGCACUACGCCUGCCAAACCAUCAAGCGUUGAUGCUCCAGCGCCUUCUACCCGUGGUUCUCCAGCCUCAGCAGAAGAGAGAGAAAUUGAUGACCCUGUCGUUGUAGCAUCCCCAUCACCCAGCAAUUAAUUUUAGUUCAAUGCUUCAAACGCUCUUCAGGCGCAGUGUGCGUUCAGCUGUGUCAGCUAAUGGCACUGGAGACACAGAAAUGAAAGAGACAACGUGCCCUCAAGGAUCUCACAGUGUGUGGUGAGGUGGACACACACACACAUAUCUAAGCACAUGACAGUGAGAGGCACGUGGUCACGAGGUUGUGACGUGGAGCUGAGAGCUCAGAGGAAGGGCUUUGGAUCAAGUGUGGUCAGACCACACUCGGCCAUGAAAGUCUUUGAAGGUGGGGAAGGGGUGAAGAUGGUGAGGGGAUUCCACGGCUGGGAGAGGUACACUCCCUACACGUUCUAACCAACUGGCCGUGGGGAGGAAGCUGGAGGUCAGGACACAGGUAGGGCCUGGGUUUUUGCCUCAUGUGACUGGGUGGAUGGUCACAAUUCGGCCAUGCUGUCUUUGAACUCAACACCACCAAAAUCAUAGGAUAUUCCUAGUAAUGUUGAUUUCCACUAGAUUACUUUUGUUACCAGAGUUUUAAGGGCAGAAGUCUUUGUCCCUUUUUUUCUCUAACAGGAAGCCAUUCUGGGCCAUUUAUUUGCCGUUAACUUACACAGCCCACUGGAGAGUGGAGGGGUGUGAAUGUGGGAGCCUGGGUGAGGGCUGCACCGGACUGUCACCAGGACAGUCCUCAAUGCUGCCUGACUUAGCCACAUUGCCAAAAACAUACACCCAUAGGUUAUGAAAUAUUCAAUACUGUAUUGUAUGGGAGAAAUACAAAGAGGAGAAAGAA